CUGAAGCUGAGUGGGAGAGACUGGAGGGACCUCUGAGAGGAGACAGACCGCUCGCUCUUUUCUUCUUAAUCACCUGUUCUUUUAGUGGAAGAAUGAGAAGCCUGAAGCCAAAGGUGGGUGCUAAGUGUGCAAGUGGGACCCCUGUGAAUCCGUGCUGCAUGCAUUGAGCUGCACUCUCACCAGGCUGCAGCCUUGCUCCCUAAGGCAGCCACCCUGCAGCCAUGGAACGUAGCCACGGCAAGGCUUCGAAAAGACAGUCAUCAUCAGCAAAGAUACAGGAGGCACUCUGAAGGGUGAAACAGAUUAAUUUGUUUUGAGAAAUAAUCAUCAGCUGGGUGAGGUGGCCCAUGAAGAAGAAGAAGAAGAAGAAGAAGAAGAAGAAGAAGAAGAAGAAGAAGAAGAAGAAGAAGAAGAAGAAAUCAGCAGCCAGGGUCGACUGUGGCACACUCAGUGCCAUUGCUUUUAUGUCACGCAAAGAUGGUCCAGUGCCUGUGAGGGGAGGCUGGCCACUCAUCGAUGCCGAAGAGAACCUGUAAUGAGCUUCCCUGGGAGAAAAGGUGGGGCCCCUGACCUGCUAAGAAGACCUAGCCUACACCCAGACUCACUGUGAACCUGAGUCUGUAAGGCUACACCUCAAAAUGCAGGGCUUGUGCUCCACAUCCCAGAGGCGUAGGUGGCACUGACUGGGAAAUCUUUGAAGAAGAGUGGUCUCUUCUCCUGUUUUUUUUAUUCAGUCUCUUUUUGUUUGCUUAAUUUUUGGAGUUUGCUAAAGAUGAACCUUCUGGCCAUACCCUGCCACAGACUCAGGCAUGUCUGCUUGGUGUGUGGCCUGCUCUGGGGAUGCUAUCUUGUGGCACUUCCCUUACCUCUGUUCUUGUGUUGGAAAUAUUGCCUGAUUUCUGGUA